rnacentral:rRNA from 1 species
CACGCCGCGGUGAAUACGUUCCCGGGCCUUGUACACACCGCCCGUCACACCACGAGAGUUUGUAACACCCGAAGUCGGUGAGGUAACCUAUUAGGAGCCAGCCGCCUAAGGUGGGAUAGAUGAUUGGGGUGAAGUCGUAACAAGGUAGCCGUAUCGGAAGG